GGUCUGAUCUACAGUAUGAUUGUUUGUCAUUCAAUUACACUAAAUUUUGGGUGGUUAAUUUCUUGAGGGGGCCCUAUAUAUAAGAUGCUACAAGCAUUAUAUGUGGCACAGCAGUCUGGAAAACAUAAAUGCAGCUCUUUUACUUGAUAAUCCUUACAGAAAGUCUAAACAUUGGAUGUGACCAAUGUCUUUUCAUCUGUCUUGCUAUCACUCAAGUAUCAGAGCACACAUAUAUAUGAGUACCAUGAAAAAUUGACAUGUAGCAGACAACUCUUGAGGGAACCAACAUGGAAUCUGGAAAACUGCAUGAGAUUCCAGUAGGUUCGGCUCGGACUAGAAGAGUAUGGCUGUUUCAUAGCAGCCCAUGAUAAAAUUCCUUUGGAACUGCAUAAUACCAACUUCAGCACAUGAGAAGAGUUGUUUGACCUCCCCACAGAAAUCAAAGUCAAGAACACCAAUCAUGUGCCUUUCCACAGCUAUCUGGGGCAGAUAAGCAGUAUUCCUCUGCAUGAAGCUUUGUGUAUCAAUGAUGCAACAAAUAUAGAAGAAAUUCGAAGUUUCACUAAUCUCAUGUGGCCAGCUGGGAACUAUCGUUUCUGUGAAAGUGCUCAUUUGUUCUCCAAGCUGGUAGCAGAAUUAGAUCAAACGGUGAUCAAGAUGCUGUUUGAAAGCUAUGGUGUAGAGAAGUAUAGUGACUCUCAAAUUGGAUCGACGACUUCUCUUCUACGACCUCUGAAGUAUAGAGCACCCAAGAUGAUGGAGACUAACUUGGGGCUGAACUCUCAUAAGGACAAGUCCUUCAUGACCACACUUCAACAAAAUCAAGUUGAUGGAUUGGAAAUAGAAACAAAGGAUGGAGAGUGGAUCGGUUUUUAGCCAUCCUCACGGUCAUCCUUUCUAGUCAUGGCAGGCGAUGCACUCAUGGUGGGUACGUAUCCUCUGUUUGGUAUCUUGGAAAAUUUGCUGAAGUUUUUAGAAGAGUUAUGUUGAUUGAGCCAAGGAUUUGAAGAUCUAGGCUCCAUACUGUUUUAGUAAUUUAACCAUUUAAGGAGUUUUGAAGUCAUGAUGAAGGGGAAAGAGGUGAGAUACUCACUCGGGCUGUUUUCAUAUAAGAGAGGAGUGAUACAGAUACCAGAAGAGCUAGUGGAUAACGAACACCCUUUACGUUUUAAGCCAUUUAAUCAUCUUGAAUUUGUUCGCUUUACUAGAACAGCUGAGGGUAAGAAGGCUGACUGCCUUCUCAAGUCCUAUUGUGGUGUUUGAGUUCUGGUUGGUCUCUAGGCCUGUUUAGUGUUUGUAUGUAUGCUGAUCUUAUGGAUUUGUUCCUAAGCUCAGUCUUAUCGCAUCAAGGAUGCAGUUUCCCACA